GUGCCAGCAGCCGCGGUAAUACGAGGGGUGCAAGCGUUAUCCGGAAUUAUUGGGCGUACAGGGCGCGUAGGCGGCAUGUUAAGUCUGUUGUUAAAUAUCCCGGCCUAACUGGGAAAAGGCAAUUGAUACUGAUGUGCUUGAGGGUGGAAGAGAGAAGCGGAAUUCUCGGAGUAGCGGUAAAAUGCGUAGAUCUCGAGAGGAACACCGAUGGCGAAGGCAGCUUCUUGGUCCAUACCUGACGCUGAGGCGCGAAAGCGUGGGGAGCAAACAGGAUUAGAUACCCUGGUAGUCC
rnacentral:rRNA from 1 species